GGUGACUAUUCCAUCCUUCACAACAGCAUUGGCCAUUAAUUCAAUCAGUUCAUUCCUGGCCAGCUUCCCAUCCAUCUUAAGGACCAUGUCCUUCCAACCUUGUGUAGCUAAAGCACCCACCAGUCUCCUCAUCCCUGGUUCGUUCAGGUCCUUCAACAGCUUACCUUUCAAGAUUUUUCUCCUGGCAAAAAGUGCAAACUUGUCCUUUUCCUUCUCAGAUUCCUCUUCCUCUUCUUCUUCUUCUUCUUCUUCUUCUUCUCCACUCAAUUCAUCAUCUUUUUCAGUAAUUUUCACCUUCUUGCCUUUCACUGCAGAUCUUGU
rnacentral:lncRNA from 1 species